rnacentral:rRNA from 1 species
UACGUAGGGAGCAAGCGUUGUCCGGAAUCAUUGGGCGUAAAGAGCGUGUAGGCGGCCCGAUAAGUCCGCUGUGAAAGUCCAGGGCUCAACCCUGGAAUGCCAGUGGAAACUGUCGGGCUGGAGUCCGGAAGAGGCGAGUGGAAUUCCUGGUGUAGCGGUGAAAUGCGCAGAUAUCAGGAGGAACACCAAUGGCGAAGGCAGCUCGCUGGGACGGUACUGACGCUGAGACGCGAAAGCGUGGGGAGCAAACAGG